UUCGCCGCUUGUGACGUCUUGAGAAGUCCACUGAACCUUAUCAUUUAGAGGAAGGAGAAGUCGUAACAAGGUUUCCGUAGGUGAACCUGCGGAAGGAUCAUUGUUGAAAUCUUCAAUGAGGACCGUGAAUGUGUCAAUGAGCGUCUUUGGGUCGAGCUCCCUUUGGAAUGAUGCUGUCCUUGCCCUCGUGGUGCGGAUGACCGACUUGAACCCCCGGCGCGAUGGGUGCCAAGGAGCACAGAAGUAGUGGGCGGCUAGAACUUUGUCUUAGUCGUGCCAUGGUUACUCAGAACCGAAUGACUCUCGGCAACGGAUAUCUCGGCCCUUGCAUCGAUGAAGAACGUAGCGAAAUGCGAUACGUGGUGUGAAUUGCAGAAUCCCGCGAACCAUUGAGUCUUUGAACGCAAGUUGCGCCCAAGGCCUUUUGGCCGAGGGCACGCCUGCCUGGGCGUCACGCGAUUGCCGCUCCGUGCGCCCCUAGCCCCACGCACGGGUGGUGGAGCCGGAUGCGUACAUUGGACCUCCGUGCACAUGGGUACGGUCGGCCGAAGAGUGUGCUGUUGCCGAUGGUUGGACACAACGGGCGGUGGUGCCAUGAGCAAUCCAAAUGUUGUGCCUUGGCCUAGGAGACGUUCCCUGAUGCGACCCCCAUCCCACCAUAAUUGCAGGUCUUGGAUUGCGAUCCCAGGUCAGGCAGGGCCACCCGCCGAGUUUAAGCAUAUAAAUAAGCGGAGGAGAAGAAACUUAAGAGGAUUCCCAUAGUAACGGCGAGCGAACCGGGAUCAGCCCAGCUUGAGAAUCGGUCGGUGGCACCGUCCGAA
rnacentral:rRNA from 1 species